rnacentral:sRNA from 1 species
CGCUCCCCUGACGUGGGCUGGGGCACGUCACCGCCGAAUGGCAGCCUCCAGAAAGCCACCGCGAGUAAGGGCGAAUCACCAGGAUUUUCAACUGAGAAAUUUAAGAAUAAUUGAACCUAACGAGGUGACACACUCAGGAGACACAGGUGUGGAAACAGACGGCAGAAUGCCUCCAAAGGUGACUUCAGAGCUGCUUCGGCAGCUGAGACAAGCCAUGAGGAACUCUGAGUAUGUGACGGAACCGAUCCAGGCCUACAUCAUCCCAUCGGGAGAUGCUCAUCAGGCACAGCCAUCAUCACAGAAGAGCAUGCAGCCAUGUGGACUGACGGGCGCUACUUUCUCCAGGCUGCCAAGCAAAUGGACAGCAACUGGACACUUAUGAAGAUGGGUCUGAAGGACACACCAACUCAGGAAGACUGGCUGGUGAGUGUGCUUCCUGAAGGAUCCAGGGUUGGUGUGGACCCCUUGAUCAUUCCUACAGAUUAUUGGAAGAAAAUGGCCAAAGUUCUGAGAAGUGCCGGCCACCACCUCAUUCCUGUCAAGGAGAACCUCGUUGACAAAAUCUGGACAGACCGUCCUGAGCGCCCUUGCAAGCCUCUCCUCACACUGGGCCUGGAUUACACAGGCAUCUCCUGGAAGGACAAGGUUGCAGACCUUCGGUUGAAAAUGGCUGAGAGGAACGUCAUGUGGUUUGUGGUCACUGCCUUGGAUGAGAUUGCGUGGCUAUUUAAUCUCCGAGGAUCAGAUGUGGAGCACAAUCCAGUAUUUUUCUCCUACGCAAUCAUAGGACUAGAGACGAUCAUGCUCUUCAUUGAUGGUGACCGCAUAGACGCCCCCAGUGUGAAGGAGCACCUGCUUCUUGACUUGGGUCUGGAGGCCGAAUACAGGAUCCAGGUGCAUCCCUACAAGUCCAUCCUGAGCG